rnacentral:rRNA from 1 species
CUGGUUGAUCCUGCCAGUAGCAUAUGCUUGUCUUAAAGAUUAAGCCAUGCAUGUCUUCGAGUAAGUGGUAUACCGCAAAUCUGCGGACGGCUCCGUAUAUCAGUGGUAAUUUAUUGGGUUUUCGAGUUUAAAUGGAUAACCGUGGUAAUUCUACGGCUAAUACAUGCUUCAACCCUGACUAGGGCUUUCGGGCUCUUGGAAAGGGUGCAUUUGUGCACGGUAAAACCAACCCUCUUCGGAGGUAACGGUUGAUACCGUACAAACGUGGCCAAUCGUACGCCUUGAGCGAGCGAUGACGCCUACAAGCUUCUGACCUAUCAACUUCCGACGACCGGUAAGUGGCCGGCCGUGGUUACAACGGGUACAGAGGAUUAGGGUCCGAUCCUGGAGAAUCAGCCUGAGAAAUUGCUGAUACUUCUAAGGAAGGCAGCAGGCGCGCAACGUUCCCAAUGGGACAAUGUCUGAGGACGUUAUGAGACGUAUCAAUGCCGGGCCGAAGAGGCCCGGUAAUUGGAAUGGGGGCAAUUUAAAUCCCUCACCGAGUAAACAAUUGGAGGGCAAGUCUGGU